rnacentral:lncRNA from 1 species
AGGUAGUGAGGUCAGUGACUGGCUGGGAUGCCACAGGUUGUCCAGGUCCCCCUCAGUCCUCACUCACUAAAAGUUCUCUCUGCUACUCUGACCCCUCCCACCCCAAUUCAUCUCUCCUGUCCUCCAGUGUCUGUGGACAAUCUCCCUCAUGCCACAGAGGGGGGGGGGCCGCUUCUGCACAGGUCUUCAUCCCUGUGUUCAAGCUCCUGCUGUUCCCUCCUCUCCCUGGAUCUGCCCACCACAGUGUGGAGAGGAAAAGAACGGGGAAGGGGGGUUAGACAAGGUUGGACAACAACAUGGGAGCAGCUUUGGUCCGGUAACUGUCCUAGAACUCCUCUGGACUGGAGGUGAGACCCACCAGGACACUUGGACACACUUGUGGAUGAUGUCAUGUGCAGAUUACAUCAGUAGAAGGCAAA